rnacentral:rRNA from 1 species
AGAGUUUGAUCCUGGCUCAGAUUGAACGCUGGCGGCAUGCCUUACACAUGCAAGUCGAACGGUAACGGGCCUUCGGGUGCCGACGAGUGGCGAACGGGUGAGUAAUGUAUCGGAACGUACCUUUCAGUGGGGAUAACGUAGCGAAAGUUACGCUAAUACCGCAUAUUCUGUGAGCAGGAAAGCAGGGGAUCGCAAGACCUUGCGCUGAUUGAGCGGCCGAUAUCAGAUUAGCUAGUUGGUGAGGUAAAGGCUCACCAAGGCGACGAUCUGUAGCGGGUCUGAGAGGAUGAUCCGCCACACUGGAACUGAGACACGGUCCAGACUCCUACGGGAGGCAGCAGUGGGGAACUUUGGACAAUGGGGCAACCCUGAUCCAGCCAUGCCGCGUGAGUGAAGAAGGCCUUCGGGUUGUAAAGCUCUUUCGGCCGGGAAGAAAUCGUAUGGGUUAAUACCCUGUGCGGAUGACGGUACCGGCAUAAGAAGCACCGGCUAACUACGUG